rnacentral:rRNA from 1 species
ACAAGCGACAAAGUGCACAGGGUGGAUGCCUUGGCGAUUACAGGCGAUGAAGGACGUAGAAGCUUGCGAUAAGCUGCGGGGAGUUGGCAAACAAACAUUGAUCCGCAGAUUUCCGAAUGGGGAAACCCGACCUUAGGGUCAUCAAUAACUGAAUCCAUAGGUUAUUGAAGCGAACGUAGCGAACUGAAACAUCUAAGUAGCUACAGGAAAAGAAAUCAACCGAGAUUCCCAAAGUAGUGGCGAGCGAAAUGGGAAGAGCCUGCAAGAAAUAGUGAAAUGAGAUAGUGGAACAUUCUGGAAAGGAUGGCAACAGAGGGUGAUAGCCCCGUACACGAAAUCCAUUUUACAGUACUAAGCUUGCGACAAGUAGGGCGGGACACGUGAAAUCCUGUCUGAAGAUGGGGGGACCAUCCUCCAAGGCUAAAUACUCGUAAUCGACCGAUAGUGAACCAGUACCGUGAGGGAAAGGCGAAAAGAACCCCGGGAGGGGAGUGAAAUAGAUCCUGAAACCGUGUGCAUACAAACAGUAGGAGCCUGUAUUAAUACGGGUGACUGCGUACCUUUUGUAUAAUGGGUCAGCGACUUACAUUCAGUGGCGAGGUUAACCGAAUAGGGGAGCCGAAGAGAAAUCGAGUCCGAACAGGGCGAGAGUCGCUGGGUGUAGACCCGAAACCAAGUGAUCUACUCAUGGCCAGGAUGAAGGUGCGGUAACACGCACUGGAGGUCCGAACCCACUAACGUUGAAAAGUUAGGGGAUGAGCUGUGGGUAGGGGUGAAAGGCUAAACAAACUUGGAGAUAGCUGGUUCUCUCCGAAAACUAUUUAGGUAGUGCCUCAAGUAUCACCAUUAGGGGUAGAGCACUGUUAUGGCUAGGGGGUCAUCGCGACUUACCAAACCAUUGCAAACUCCGAAUACUAAUGAGUGCGAGCUUGGGAGACAGACAUCGGGUGCUAACGUCCGGUGUCAAGAGGGAAACAACCCAGACCGCCAGCUAAGGUCCCAAAGAUUGGCUAAGUGGAAAACGAAGUGGGAAGGCUAAAACAGUCAGGAGGUUGGCUUAGAAGCAGCCAUCCUUUAAAGAAAGCGUAAUAGCUCACUGAUCGAGUCUUCCUGCGCGGAAGAUGUAACGGGGCUAAGCCAGUCACCGAAGCUGCGGAUAUCCGUAAGGAUAUGGUAGGAGAGCGUUCUGUAAGCCUGCGAAGGUGUGUUGAGAAGCAUGCUGGAGGUAUCAGAAGUGCGAAUGCUGACAUGAGUAGCGAUAAUGGGGGUGAAAAGCCCCCACGCCGUAAGCCCAAGGUUUCCUGUUCAACGUUCAUCGGAGCAGGGUGAGUCGGCCCCUAAGGCGAGGCAGAGAUGCGUAGCUGAUGGGAAGCAGGUUAAUAUUCCUGCACCGUCGUUAGAUGCGAUGGGGGGACGGAUCGCGGAAAGUCGUCCGGGUGUUGGAAAUCCCGGUUAUUGAUUCGAAGGAGGCUACUAGGCAAAUCCGGUAGCGUAAUCCAAGGAAUUGAAACGAGUGGCCUUGUGCCGCGAAGCGAUUGGAAGUGGUUCCAAGAAAAGCCUCUAAGCUUCAGUCUAACGAGACCGUACCGCAAACCGACACAGGUGGGCGAGAUGAGUAUUCUAAGGCGCUUGAGAGAACUCGGGAGAAGGAACUCGGCAAAUUUGUACCGUAACUUCGGGAUAAGGUACGCCCUUGUAUCUUGACUGGCCUGCGCCAGAAGGGAGAAGGGGUUGCAAAAAAAUGGUGGCUGCGACUGUUUAAUAAAAACACAGCACUCUGCUAACACGAAAGUGGACGUAUAGGGUGUGACGCCUGCCCGGUGCUGGAAGAUUAAAUGAUGGGGUGAGAGCUCUUGAUUGAAGUCCCAGUAAACGGCGGCCGUAACUAUAACGGUCCUAAGGUAGCGAAAUUCCUUGUCGGGUAAGUUCCGACCUG